GCCGGACGCGCCGGGUUGGGGUAGCUGCGUGGGCCGAGACUGAGUUUUUGCCGGGCUCCCAGAGGAGCUGGAGUGGGAGGCCUAGGCCUAGGUUCUGAUGUGGGGGGCGGUGGCUGACUUGGAAAGAGCUAGCCUGGCACCGGCUGGACGCCCAGUCAGGAGCAGCCGUGAAAACGGGAUCCGAUGAAACGGCGGGGUCCCCUCCCGGGCUCCCGCUGCUUUGUCAGACGCUUGCGCGCAGUCUCCUUUUUGUUCCUCAAGUCCAAAAACUGGCUACAAGCCCAUUACACAGUCCAGGGAGCUCCUGCCAAGUCCUUCAAGAAUCUGACAUGCUGACACCACCAUAAGGGAAAGGAUUUCUAUCUACUUUGAUCAGUGCUGUAUCCCCAGCAUCCCAAGAUGGUUUAAGUUUUCCUUCCAGGAGCACUCAAAUCCUGACCUAACCUGAAUGUUAUGGGGACUUCAGAACUGCUACUACUGAGGAACAGGAACUCAUUCUAGGGACAUGCCCAUGGAACCCAGAGGUCUCUGUAUCAGCUGUUUGGGGAUUGGGUAAGACCCGCGUUUCAUAUUGCGGUUCUGUUGGCCAGGAUUUGGGUGAGGGCUCAGUACCUCUUGAGAAACAGGGAGAUCAUGAAUCCAUUUGCUCUAAAUGCUGGAAGAUAAAAGGAAGAGUCACUAGAGGGAGAGUAUAACCUGUCCCUGGAAGACAGGAGGUGGCAGGUUCUUGGCAGUAGGCCGGGGAAAAAAGACAGUCCUUUUCCUUUGCCCAAUCCUCUUCUCAAACUAUAAACAUUGGAGGGACCCAGGGCUUAGUUAUCUGCCCCUGCAGUUCUCUGUCUUUAUCCACCUUUUUGCAAUCUGUAGGGGAAAGGGUUACCUCAACAGGCCUGGGGUAUCAAACCCAAGAAGGGCCUAUUUCCAUGACUAGCUCUUGGUCGCCUUCUAGGAACUGAACCCUUACAAUGUUUUGUCUGAUAAAGGGUUUUUGCAGGCCUGAGGCCUUGAGCCACACUGUACCAGCUUGUCCAUAGUUUAUACAAACAGUGUUAUCUAUGGUGAACACCAACGUUCCUUCUGUAGGGCCUGGAGUUUCAGUGACAGGUCAGUCCUAUGGUACAUGCCCAUGUGACUGACCUCCUUAUAAAAACGCCGGACACCCAGUUUCAACGUGAGCUGCCCGGGGUUGGCAACCCAUCACAAGUGUUGUCACACAUCAUUGCUGGGGGACUUCCCUGGGGACUCCACUGAAAAAGGAAGUUUGGGUGUGGUGUCCUCCAGACUCCACCCCAUGGACCUCUCCCUUUGCUGAUUCUACUCUCUCUCUCUCUCUUUUUGCUGUAAUAAACCGUACCCAUGAGUAUAACAACUUCUGGGUACUGUGAAUCUGUCUAGCAAAUCCUCGAGCCUGAGGCUGGUGUUGGAGAGCCCUGACACAAGAUCUCCUACAGCCCCAUCACUUGAAACCCCACUGGCAAGUCCCAGGUAUGUAUCUCUCCCACCGUGCUCUCUCUAGACUUCUUAGGAACAACUGCCUGUUUUAUUCUCCAGCUAAUCUAUCUUUGACAUGCCUAAAGCAAAUUCUUGACUUCCUUGUCUAUCCCAAAUGUGCCCCCUCCUCAGUGGUGCCUCAGAAAGUGGCCUGCCAGUCUUCCAACUGCUCCUGGGGAGUCGUCCUUGAUUCCUCACUCUGUUUUCACCAAACUCACCACCUCCAGCCCCAGAUCCCUUGGGAUUCUAAGCAUCUCGCAUCUGCUCCUCCCUUGGGUGCGUCAGUCUUUCGUGUUAUUCUGACUUUUUCUUGUCAUCAUCUCUUAGUCUCUCCUUGUUUCUCAUCUGCCGCCAUGAUUUGAAAAGGCUGCUCCCUGUGUACAUCCCUGCUCUCCUCUGGCCGGCUCACACCCCCCGCACCUGGCUGCUGUGUCCACCACCAGUGUUUGCCCAUCCUCGCAGCUUCCCCAGCUGCUGGGUCUCGAACCUUGGCCCGCUAGUUCUGGAUCACUUUCUUCCCCCUGUUUUCAUUGCUUUUAAAGAAACACGAACCAAAACCUGGCUCCAGACCUUGAAAAACACAUUAAAACAGAAUGUCACGAAGUCUGCAAAGAGAAUGGCUGGGAUAGAAGAGACACCUGGUAAAUUUCAUCGAACACAUGAUUGAGCGUGAUUCCUCCUCAAGGAUUUCUGGAGAAAGGAUAUCUGCUUCCGUGAGACUCAGGGGAUGAUCUGGCAGUAAAUGCUGUGUUCUGGACUCACAAGCACCUGUUACACAAAGAGAAAAGGUGAGUUCCGUUUUCUGGGUAGGCCUUCCUGGUCUCCUUGCUCUAUUUAGUCCAAGGCCCAGGUGCUCUGGCACCGUCCUCCCUCCUUGGACACUCCGAAGAUCGUCCCCGUCUUACUGCAUUUCAGUCAUGUGUGCACCUCUCUUCCUACAGCGGCCCUCAUGUGUCCUUACCACUGAGGACACACACUCUGAGGUGUCCCCCAUAAUCCUCACCUCCUGGUAUUCAUGCCCUAAGGUCAUCGCCUUCCCUUGAGGGCAAGACCCGUGACUCGCACCUAACCAGUAGAAUAGGGCAAGAUGGUAGGACGUGCCUGAUGGCGGUACUGAGUCUGUUAUAUAAGAUUGUAGCUUCUGUCUUGGCUUUGAAAAAGCAAGAUGCGAUGGUGUGAGCUGCCUAUGGAGAGGGCCACACGGCAAAGGACUAAGGGAAGCCUCCAGCUGACAGUCGGUAAGAAACUGAGGCCCUUGUUACAGAGCCUGCAAGGAACUGAAGGCUGCCGAGAACCAUGUGAACUUGCAAGUGGAUGCCUCCCCAAUCAAGCCUCAGAUGAGACCGGAGCUUGGGCCAGCAUCUUGAUUACAGCCUUGCAGAAGGCCCAUCUAAGCAGUGCUUGGACUCCGGACGGAAACUCUGAGACAAUAACAUGUCGCGUUAGCUGCUCCAUUUGUGAUCAUUUGUUUUGCAGCCACAGACUGUAAUAGACCCUCUCAGAGCCUUUUCGCUUAAUGCCCCUCAACUUGGAAUACUCCACUCCAGACCCUUUGUGUGGUUUGCUCCCUCUCGUCCCUGCAGAAUGUUGUGGAUGUCAAGUUUGCUGACCCAGCACUCCUCCCUAUAUCUUAUCCCUUGUCUACUCCUAUUGACAAGACUAGGAAGCCUAACGCCUCACCCUCUCAGCCUUCUUGGCCACAAGGAAUACCGUGUGACAGAAUUCUAGCCAAGGAGACAGAAGAGGAAUUUUCCCCGAGUGAGACUUCUAGGAAGAGCUUUGGCUUCACUGAGGGAAGGGAACAAAUGUAGCUCUCUUCCCCAGACCCCAAUGAAGAGAGGGACCUAAAGGUUAAUGAUACCAGUUCCUAGCGGGCCGAGGAGCUGACAAGCCUAAACACAAUCCCGACAGUGGUCUGAGCCCGUCUGAGUCUCCUCUGGAGAACCUGGGAAUUUUAAAUAGUAAAAGCAUGUUCUUAUGUGUAGUCCAAAGUCAUAGAGGAAGAGUGACCAGGAAGCGUGCAUAGGAACUCACUCUGGACUGAGAACAACCGAGCAAAUUCAUCACUCAGCAAAUAGCAACCACAUACGAAAGCAAAGCUUCCUGGUAACAUUCCCGUCCUUGGAUGCCACACAUAACUUCUGAUACUGAGUUAUUUGAGAUUCCCCAGUGUUCUCUCAAUUACUUUCAGAGGGUUUGUCUUUUUACUAAAGUCCUUAACUAUGGGAACGCCUGGUGGUCUUAGCUGGUAGAGCAUGAAACUCUUGAUCUUGGGGUCAGGAGUUCAAGCCUCACACUGGGUGUGGAGCCUACUUAAAAAUAAUAAUAAUAAUAAUAAUAUUUAAACCUCCUGACUAUAAGACAUUCACAUCUUUUGAGGAUGGUUCAUCUGUCAGUUAGACUAAAGCCAGGCCCCCUCCAAUAUAGCCUCCACAGUAAUCGGUCUGCCCUCUGGACGGAGAAGUUAACACAUUAGUCACUCUACUGCAAGGCAGGACUUCAGACACUAAAUUAUUGGAGUUCUGUGUCCCUAAAGUUUCCCUUUUCCAAAUCUGUCCUCGCCUCCCUCUUUUGCCUCCUAAAAGUCUGAUUGGUCACUGACUCCUUCAGAGGAUACUGCCUAAAGCCCAUCCCUGGAUGUGGAGUAAUCUGGCUAGUCCAGCACAUGGAUGUUUCACUUGAGUCCCUCUGAAAUAACCACUAAUCCUGAGAGCCAGGAAGCCAUCUCCUGAGUUAUGGCCACCUCCAGGGGGAAGCUCUUCUUCCCAUUUGCCUGAAUGAGCAAAUAGCUUUCUUCCUUUUGGGUGAUAAAGCUGAUAAUGUUUUUUUUUUUUAAUUUGGCUACCAAGAAAGUCAAAGACAAAUGAGAAAUAUAGGGUUGGAUCCUAUGUAGGUCCAGCAUAUUUAUUUUCUUAUCCAUGCCUUGAUGUCCUGUUAUUAUUAAAAAUAUUUUCCUAAUUGUGGUUCCUAUUUGUAAUUUAGCACCAUUAUAUAGUGUGAUGUAGAAGCUUGCUGCGAAUGGCCUCAAAUCCCCCAUGGGAGAAAUGUAGGGACAUAAAUAUUAAAAAAAAAAAACAGUAUAAAAGGAAAUAAAUCAAAAGGGAUAGAUGGUUUUCAAGGCACUGAAAGGGAUGGGAAUGGAGAGAAAUGAAAUGGAUGGAAACUUAAAAGUCAGGGAGUGAAAUGGAAUUAAUAGCAUGGGGUCCAAAAAUGUAAAUGAAGGAAAUGGAAUAAAUGGAAAAGUCCUGGGAUGGAGCCCCAUGUCAGGCUCCCUGCUCAGCGGGGAGUCUGCUUCUCCCUCUCCCUC